rnacentral:misc_RNA from 1 species
ACCCGCCCCUAAAAGGGGCGACACUCCGCCAUGAAUCACUCCCCUGUGAGGAACUACUGUCUUCACGCAGAAAGCGUCUAGCCAUGGCGUUAGUAUGAGUGUCGUACAGCCUCCAGGCCCCCCCCUCCCGGGAGAGCCAUAGUGGUCUGCGGAACCGGUGAGUACACCGGAAUUGCCGGGAAGACUGGGUCCUUUCUUGGAUAAACCCACUCUAUGCCCGGUCAUUUGGGCGUGCCCCCGCAAGACUGCUAGCCGAGUAGCGUUGGGUUGCGAAAGGCCUUGUGGUACUGCCUGAUAGGGUGCUUGCGAGUGCCCCGGGAGGUCUCGUAGACCGUGCAUCAUGAGCACAAAUCCUAAACCUCAAAGAAAAACCAAAAGAAACACUAACCGCCGCCCACAGGACGUUAAGUUCCCGGGCGGUGGCCAGAUCGUUGGCGGAGUAUACUUGCUGCCGCGCAGGGGCCCGAGAUUGGGUGUGCGCGCGGCGAGGAAAACUUCCGAACGGUCCCAGCCACGUGGGAGGCGCCAGCCCAUCCCUAAAGAUCGGCGCUCCACUGGCAAGUCCUGGGGUAGGCCAGGAUACCCUUGGCCCCUGUACCGGAAUGAGGGCCUCGGCUGGGCAGGAUGGCUCCUGUCCCCCCGCGGUUCUCGCCCUUCAUGGGGCCCCAGUGACCCCCGGCAUAAAUCGCGCAACUUGGGCAAGGUCAUCGAUACCCUAACGUGCGGUUUUGCCGACCUCAUGGGGUACAUUCCCGUCGUCGGCGCUCCCGUUGGAGGCGUUGCCAGAGCUCUCGCUCAUGGGGUGAGGGUUCUGGAGGACGGGAUAAAUUAUGCAACGGGGAAUUUGCCCGGUUGCUCCUUUUCUAUCUUUCUUUUAGCCCUCUUGUCUUGUAUCUCUGUGCCAGUUUCCGCUGUAGAAGUCAGAAACACCAGCAGUUCAUACAUGGCGACCAACGAUUGCUCUAACUCCAGCAUCGUUUGGCAGCUCGAAGGCGCAGUGCUCCAUACUCCUGGAUGUGUCCCCUGUGAGAAGACCGGAAACAAGAGCCGAUGUUGGGUGCCAGUCACUCCCAAUAUAGCUAUAAAUCAACCCGGCGCUCUCACUAAGGGGUUGCGAGCGCACAUCGAUGUCAUCGUGAUGUCUGCUACGCUCUGUUCUGCCCUCUAUGUGGGGGAUGUGUGUGGCGCGUUGAUGAUAGCCGCUCAGGUCGUCGUCGUAUCGCCACAGCACCACCACUUUGUCCAGGAAUGCAACUGUUCCAUAUACCCGGGCAAGAUCACGGGGCACCGCAUGGCCUGGGAUAUGAUGAUGAACUGGUCGCCCACUACCACCAUGCUCCUGGCGUACUUGGUGCGCAUCCCGGAGGUUGUCCUGGACAUCAUCACUGGGGGUCACUGGGGCGUGAUGUUUGGCCUGGCUUACUUCUCCAUGCAGGGGGCGUGGGCAAAGGUCGUCGUCAUCCUCUUGUUGACCGCUGGGGUGGAGGCAUCCACCUACACCACCGGGGCGGUUGUCGGAAGAAGCACGCAUCUCUUUACCAGUAUGUUCAGUUUAGGGUCCCAACAGCGCGUCCAGCUCAUCCACACCAACGGAAGCUGGCACAUCAAUCGCACAGCUCUGAACUGCAACGACAGUCUGGAAACCGGCUUCCUCGCGGCCCUGUUCUAUACCAGCUCCUUUAACAGCUCAGGAUGCCCCGAGCGCUUAGCCGCUUGUCGGAGCAUCGAGUCCUUCCGCAUAGGAUGGGGCUCCCUUGAGUAUGAGGAGAGUGUCACCAAUGAUGCAGACAUGAGACCGUACUGCUGGCAUUAUCCUCCUAGACCUUGUGGCAUAGUUCCUGCACGGACUGUGUGUGGCCCGGUGUACUGCUUCACUCCCAGCCCAGUCGUGGUGGGCACCACUGAUAGGGCUGGGGCGCCCACCUACAAUUGGGGGGAAAACGAGACAGAUGUCUUCCUGCUCAACAGCACCCGCCCACCGAAGGGUGCUUGGUUUGGGUGCACGUGGAUGAACGGCACCGGGUUCACCAAGACCUGCGGCGCGCCACCUUGCCGCAUCAGGAAAGAUUUCAACGCCAGUGAGGACCUGUUGUGCCCCACGGACUGCUUCAGGAAACACCCAGGGGCGACCUACAUCAAAUGUGGGGCUGGGCCGUGGUUAACACCCCGGUGCCUAGUCGAUUACCCCUACAGGCUGUGGCAUUAUCCGUGCACAGUCAACUAUACCAUCUACAAAGUACGGAUGUUCGUAGGGGGUAUUGAACACAGACUUCAAGCAGCCUGCAACUUCACUCGUGGGGACCGCUGCAAUCUCGAGGACAGGGAUAGGAGUCAGCUAAGCCCGCUGCUGCACUCCACCACUGAAUGGGCUAUUCUACCCUGUUCGUACACAGAUCUACCAGCUUUGUCAACUGGCCUGCUGCAUCUCCACCAAAACAUCGUGGACGUGCAGUAUUUAUACGGCCUAUCACCAGCCAUCACGAAGUACGUCGUCAAGUGGGAGUGGGUCGUUCUUCUGUUCCUGCUUUUGGCGGACGCCAGGGUUUGUGCCUGCUUAUGGAUGCUCCUCCUACUGGGUCAGGCUGAAGCGGCUCUAGAGAAGUUGGUCAUUUUACAUGCAGCCAGUGCUGCUAGCUCUAAUGGUCUUCUGUAUUUCAUCCUCUUCUUUGUAGCCGCUUGGUGUAUUAAAGGUCGUGCGGUCCCGAUGGUAACGUAUACCUUACUGGGAUGCUGGUCCUUUGUCUUACUGCUCAUGGCGCUGCCCCACCAGGCUUACGCCCUUGACGCGGCAGAGCAAGGCCAGAUCGGCAUGGCGUUACUGAUCGCCAUAACCGCCUUCACGAUCACACCGGCAUACAAAAUCCUUCUCAGCCGAUGUUUGUGGUGGACGUGCUACAUGCUGGUCCUGGCGGAAGCCCUGAUUCAAGAUUGGAUACCACCGCUGCAGGCGCGGGGCGGCCGUGAUGGCGUCAUCUGGGCCAUGACCAUGUUUUACCCGGGUGUGGUGUUUGACAUAACCAAGUGGUUGUUGGCGAUCCUCGGACCCGGCUACCUCUUCAGAGCUGCUGUGAUGCGCACGCCAUACUUCGUUAGGGCAAAUGCUCUUCUGAGGAUGUGUGCGCUGGUGAAGCAACUCGCGGGGGGCAAGUACGUCCAGGUAGCACUGAUCACCCUUGGCAAGUGGACAGGCACAUACAUCUAUGACCAUCUAUCCCCCAUGUCAGACUGGGCAGCCGACGGCCUGCGCGACCUAGCGGUGGCUGUCGAGCCUAUCGUCUUCAGCCCAAUGGAGAGGAAAGUCAUCGUGUGGGGGGCGGAGACGACGGCUUGUGGUGACAUCAUACACGGGCUUCCCGUCUCUGCCCGGCUCGGCCAAGAGGUCCUGCUGGGCCCUGCUGAUGGAUACACCUCUAAAGGGUGGAGACUUCUCGCCCCUAUCACCGCAUACGCCCAGCAAACCCGAGGGUUGCUGAGCGCCAUAGUGGUGAGCAUGACGGGGCGCGACAAGACGGACCAGGCUGGGGAGAUUCAGGUUUUGUCCACUGUUACACAAUCUUUCCUUGGAACAUCAAUCUCAGGGGUUCUGUGGACCGUCUUCCACGGUGCCGGAAACAAAACGCUGGCUGGUUCCCGUGGCCCGGUCACGCAGAUGUACUCCAGCGCCGAGGGAGACCUCGUGGGAUGGCCUAGUCCCCCUGGUACCAGAUCCCUGGAACCUUGCACUUGCGGGGCAGUUGACCUCUACCUUGUCACUCGGAACGCCGAUGUCAUCCCGGCCCGGAGACGGGGGGAUCGGAGAGGAGCGCUGCUCUCCCCGAGGCCCCUGUCCUCCCUCAAGGGGUCGUCGGGAGGGCCUGUCCUCUGCCCUAGGGGCCACGCCGUCGGAAUCUUCCGGGCGGCCGUGUGCUCCAGGGGGGUCGCCAAGUCCAUCGACUUCAUCCCCGUCGAGUCCCUCGACGUUGUGACUAGGUCUCCAAACUUCACUGACAACAGUACACCUCCAGCUGUGCCCCAGACCUACCAGGUGGGAUAUCUCCAUGCUCCCACCGGUAGCGGGAAGAGUACCAAAGUCCCCGCAGCGUAUGCUGCUCAGGGGUACAAAGUACUGGUAUUGAACCCCUCGGUGGCUGCCACCCUGGGGUUUGGGGCCUAUAUGUCAAAAGCAUAUGGAAUCAAUCCCAACAUCAGAACUGGGGUUCGCACGGUGACAACUGGGGAUGCCAUCACCUACUCCACGUACGGCAAAUUCCUCGCGGAUGGAGGCUGCUCCGGCGGCGCCUAUGAUGUCAUAAUAUGCGACGAGUGCCAUUCAGUGGAUUCUACGACCAUCCUUGGCAUCGGGACAGUCCUUGACCAAGCUGAGACGGCAGGGGUUAGGUUGACAGUCCUGGCCACAGCAACCCCACCAGGGUCUGUGACAACUCCACAUCCCAACAUAGAGGAGGUGGCCCUCGGACAUGAGGGCGAAAUCCCCUUCUAUGGGAAGGCCAUUCCCCUCUCAGCCAUCAAGGGAGGGCGACAUCUAAUCUUCUGCCACUCAAAGAAAAAGUGCGACGAACUCGCGGUGGCCCUUCGAGGGAUGGGCCUCAAUGCGGUGGCAUACUACAGAGGGCUUGACGUCUCAAUAAUACCAACACAAGGAGACGUGGUGGUUGUCGCCACCGAUGCCCUCAUGACAGGAUAUACUGGGGACUUCGACUCUGUGAUCGACUGCAACGUGGCGGUCACCCAAGUCGUGGACUUCAGUUUAGACCCUACUUUUACCAUAACCACACAAACUGUCCCCCAGGACUCCGUGUCCCGCAGCCAGCGCCGGGGCAGGACCGGGAGAGGGAGGUUGGGCAUAUAUAGGUAUGUCUCUUCCGGUGAGAGGGCGUCGGGGAUGUUUGACACCGUGGUGCUCUGUGAGUGCUACGACGCCGGAGCGGCCUGGUACGAACUCACUCCGGCAGAGACCACCGUCAGGCUGCGGGCAUACUUCAAUACACCCGGAUUGCCCGUGUGCCAAGACCACCUGGAAUUCUGGGAGGCCGUGUUCACUGGCCUCACACAUAUAGAUGCCCAUUUCCUCUCCCAGACGAAGCAGGCAGGGGAGGGUUUCCCGUACCUGGUGGCCUACCAGGCCACGGUGUGCGCCAGAGCCAAAGCUCCCCCCCCCUCCUGGGACGUAAUGUGGAAGUGCCUGAUCCGGCUUAAACCCACACUUGUGGGCCCUACACCCCUGUUAUAUCGCCUAGGCUCGGUCACUAAUGAGGUCACCCUCACCCACCCCGUAACCAAGUACAUCGCCACGUGCAUGCAAGCCGACCUUGAGAUCAUGACAAGCACGUGGGUCCUUGCGGGGGGGGUCUUGGCCGCUGUAGCUGCUUAUUGCCUAGCUACUGGGUGUGUAAGCAUCAUCGGCCGCAUCCAUGUCAACCAGAAGACGAUCAUCGCUCCUGAUAAGGAGGUCCUUUAUGAGGCAUUUGAUGAGAUGGAGGAAUGUGCCUCUAGGACCGCCCUCAUCGAGGAGGGGCAUCGGAUAGCCGAGAUGCUAAAAUCCAAAAUACAGGGCCUAAUGCAACAAGCCUCCAAGCAGGCACAGGGAGUACAACCUGCCGUGCAAGCAACAUGGCCCAAGCUAGAGCAAUUCUGGGCCAAGCACAUGUGGAACUUCAUCAGUGGCAUCCAGUACCUUGCGGGGCUGUCCACGUUACCGGGAAACCCCGCCGUAGCCUCAAUGAUGUCCUUCAGUGCUGCUCUCACCAGCCCACUCUCCACCAGCACUACCAUCCUCCUUAACAUCAUGGGGGGGUGGCUCGCUUCCCAAAUUGCUCCCCCUGCAGGGGCCACUGGCUUCGUCGUCAGUGGUCUAGUAGGGGCCGCUGUGGGUAGCAUAGGCCUAGGGAAGAUACUGGUGGAUGUAUUGGCCGGGUAUGGCGCGGGUAUUUCGGGGGCUCUCGUUGCUUUCAAGAUCAUGUCUGGCGAGAAGCCCUCCGUGGAGGACGUCGUCAACCUGCUGCCCGCCAUCCUCUCUCCCGGUGCUCUCGUGGUGGGGGUGAUCUGUGCGGCCAUUCUGCGCCGCCACGUGGGACAAGGGGAAGGCGCGGUCCAAUGGAUGAACAGGCUUAUCGCCUUUGCGUCCAGAGGUAACCAUGUCGCCCCGACACACUACGUGGCGGAGUCAGAUGCGUCGCAGCGGGUCACCCAGCUGCUUGGCUCCCUUACAAUAACCAGCCUGCUCAGGAGACUACACCAAUGGAUCACAGAAGAUUGCCCUGUCCCCUGCUCCGGCUCAUGGCUUCGAGACGUGUGGGACUGGGUCUGCUCAAUCCUAAUAGACUUCAAGAACUGGCUAUCUGCUAAAUUAUUCCCUAGGUUACCUGGCAUUCCCUUCAUUUCCUGUCAAAAGGGUUACAGAGGGACAUGGGCCGGUACUGGUAUUAUGACUACACGGUGUCCAUGCGGUGCCAACAUCACCGGCAACGUCCGCUUGGGCACCAUGAGAAUAUCAGGACCUAAGACCUGCUUGAAUACCUGGCAGGGGACAUUCCCCAUCAACUGUUACACGGAGGGCUCGUGCGUGCCCAAACCCGCUCCAAAUUUCAAAACCGCUAUCUGGAGGGUGGCGGCAUCAGAAUAUGCGGAGGUAACGCAGCACGACUCCCAUGCGUAUGUGACAGGGUUGACAGCAGACAACCUAAAGGUUCCUUGCCAGCUGCCAUGUCCGGAGUUUUUCUCCUGGGUGGACGGGGUUCAGAUCCAUCGAUUCGCUCCCACGCCAAAGGCGUUCAUGAGGGACGAGGUAUCAUUCAGCGUGGGUCUCAACUCCUACGUGGUCGGGUCACAGCUCCCUUGCGAGCCUGAGCCGGACACGGAGGUGUUGGCAUCCAUGCUGACAGACCCGUCCCACAUUACGGCCGAGGCGGCGGCGAGACGCCUGGCCCGGGGCUCACCCCCCUCUGCGGCUAGUUCUUCGGCUAGCCAGCUGUCAGCGCCGUCGUUGCGAGCUACCUGUACCACCCACGCCAAAUGUCCCGACAUUGACAUGGUGGAUGCCAAUCUCUUCUGCUGGUGUACUAUGGGAGGCAAUAUGACUCGCAUAGAGUCUGAGUCUAAGGUGCUCAUGGUCGACUCCUUCGACCCCGUGGUCGAUAAGGAGGACGAACGCGAGCCUUCAAUACCAUCAGAGUACUUGCUUCCCAAAAGCAGAUUCCCACCAGCACUACCACCCUGGGCGCGGCCUGAUUACAAUCCGCCGCUCCUAGAGACCUGGAAAAGACCAGACUAUCAACCACCAGUGGUCGCCGGAUGUGCUCUCCCUCCUCCUGGAACCACCCCAGUGCCGCCUCCUAGGAGGCGGCGAGCUGUGGUGCUGGACCAGAGUAACGUGGGAGAGGCUCUCAAGGAGCUUGCCAUCAAGAGCUUUGGCUGCCCCCCCCCUAGCGGCGACCCAGGCCACUCUACGGGGGGGGGUACCACCGGCGAGACCAGCAAAUCACCACCAGACGAACCUGAUGAUUCGGAGGCGGGAUCCGUGUCUUCCAUGCCCCCCCUUGAGGGGGAGCCUGGAGACCCAGACCUGGAGCCUGAGCAGGUAGAGCACCCCGCCCCCCCACAAGAGGGGGGAGCCGCUCCCGGCUCGGACUCCGGGUCCUGGUCCACGUGCUCCGAUGUGGACGACUCUGUGGUGUGUUGCUCCAUGUCAUACUCCUGGACCGGGGCGUUGAUAACUCCCUGUAGUCCAGAAGAGGAAAAGUUACCAAUAAACCCUCUGAGUAACUCGUUGUUGCGGUACCACAACAAAGUGUACUGCACCACGUCAAGGAGUGCCUCACAACGGGCGAAAAAGGUGACUUUCGACAGGGUGCAACUACUAGACUCUCAUUAUGAAUCAGUCUUGAAGGACGUCAAGCAGGCAGCCACCAAGGUCAGUGCUAAGCUCCUCUCCAUCGAGGAGGCAUGUGCAUUGACCCCGCCCCAUUCCGCUAGAUCAAAGUACGGAUUUGGGGCGAAGGAGGUUCGCAGCUUGUCCAGGAGGGCCGUUGACCACAUCAAGUCCGUGUGGGAGGACCUCCUGGAAGACCACUGUUCACCAAUUGAUACAACCAUCAUGGCCAAAAACGAGGUGUUCUGCGUUGACCCCACCAAAGGUGGAAAGAAACCGGCUCGCCUCAUCGUGUACCCUGAUCUAGGUGUCAGGGUUUGCGAGAAGAUGGCCCUCUAUGACAUAACACAGAAGCUUCCCGUCGCAGUGAUGGGGCAGUCCUACGGAUUCCAGUACUCUCCAGCCCAGCGGGUCGAUUUCCUCCUACAAGCGUGGAAGGAAAAGAAGACCCCUAUGGGGUUUUCCUAUGACACCCGCUGUUUUGACUCUACAGUCACGGAGAGAGACAUCAGAACCGAGGAGUCCAUCUAUCUGUCCUGUUCCUUGCCUGAGGAAGCUCGAACUGCUAUACACUCACUGACUGAGAGACUAUACGUAGGGGGCCCCAUGACAAACAGCAAAGGGCAAUCCUGCGGAUACAGGCGUUGUCGCGCGAGCGGAGUGCUCACCACCAGCAUGGGCAAUACUCUCACGUGCUACGUGAAAGCUAAGGCGGCGUGCAACGCCGCAGGCAUUGUUGCCCCCACCAUGUUGGUGUGCGGCGACGACCUGGUCGUCAUCUCAGAGAGUCAGGGGGUCGAGGAGGACGAGCGGAACCUGAGAGUCUUCACGGAGGCUAUGACCAGGUACUCCGCCCCUCCCGGCGAUCCUCCCAAAGCAGAAUAUGACCUGGAGCUGAUAACAUCUUGCUCUUCCAAUGUAUCCGUGGCGUUAGACCCGCGAGGCCGCCGCAGGUACUACCUGACUAGAGACCCCACCACUCCACUCGCCAGGGCUGCCUGGGAGACAGCAAGACACUCCCCUGUCAAUUCAUGGCUGGGAAACAUCAUCCAGUACGCCCCGACAGUUUGGGUGCGCAUGGUCCUAAUGACACACUUCUUCUCCGUCUUGAUGGCCCAGGAUACCCUGGACCAGGAUCUCAACUUCGAAAUGUACGGAGCAGUGUACUCAGUCAGUCCCCUGGACCUCCCGGCCAUAAUUGAGAGACUACAUGGGCUUGAAGCCUUUUCACUGCACUCAUACUCUCCCCACGAACUCACUCGGGUGGCUGCCGCUCUCAGAAAACUUGGGGCGCCCCCCCUUAGAGCGUGGAAGAGUCGAGCUCGUGCAGUGAGGGCUUCCCUCAUCAGCCGAGGGGGGAGCGCGGCCACAUGUGGCCGCUACCUCUUCAACUGGGCUGUGAGGACGAAGCUCAAACUCACUCCAUUGCCGGCGGCACGCCUCCUGGACUUGUCCAGCUGGUUCACCGUCAGCGCUGGCGGGGGCGACAUAUAUCACAGCGUGUCGCGAGCUCGGCCCCGCCUCUUACUCCUUGGCCUACUCCUGCUUUGCGUAGGGGUAGGCAUCUUCCUACUCCCCGCUCGGUAGAGCGGCACAUUUAGCUACACUCCAUAGCUAAUUGUUCCCUUUUUUUUUUUUUUUUUUUU